ensembl:lncRNA
GUGGAAAGGAAAGUUUGCUUUAGUUUAGAUGCCAGCAACUGGGUGAGGUUGCGGGGCACGGGGAGGGUGGUGGAUAUCUGUCCAAAGGCUGAUUCCCUCCCCACUCUGACAAGCAGGGGUUGCACGAGCUUUUACAGACAGAAGUAGGGGGGUGGCUACAUGCAGAAACAGCAUAGUCAUCUCUAGCAGUAAUCUUCAAAUUGGUCAUCAGUGGUCUGGCCAGAAUCACCUUGAUUGUUUUAGGUACAGUUAAUUUUCAGUUCCAGGGUCCAUUUGUUUCCAUUUCUUUGAGGCCAAGUCUCAGAAUUGUGGCAGCUCAUGUCGUGGUUAUUGUCUGAUCAUCAUGUAGUUAACUUCUCCACCUGGUGUAUUAGUAUCUGAAAGGGCAGAGUUGCUCUUUUUCCAUUACCCCAUGCAUUUCAUUCUAAUUCAGCUUUAGCCAGCUUCAACAGGAGCUGAGUUCUCCAACUGCAGAAGCAGCGGCUGAUCAAGACCAGCAAAAGAAAGACACAUAUCUUUUUGGACCAGAUACAUUGCAAAAAGCUUCAAUACUUUGGCCACCUGAGGUGAAGAGCCAACUCAUUGGAAAAGACCCUGAUGCUGGGAAAGAUUGAGGGCAGAAGGAGAA